rnacentral:rRNA from 1 species
GACGAACGCUGGCGGCGUGCCUAAUACAUGCCAGUAGAACGCUGAAGGAGGAGCUUGCUCUUCUGGAUGAGUUGCGAACGGGUGAGUAACGCGUAGGUAACCUGCCUGGUAGCGGGGGAUAACUAUUGGAAACGAUAGCUAAUACCGCAUAACAGUAGAUGUUGCAUGACAUUUACUUAAAAGGUGCAAUUGCAUCACUACCAGAUGGACCUGCGUUGUAUUAGCUAGUUGGUGGGGUAACGGCUCACCAAGGCGACGAUACAUAGCCGACCUGAGAGGGUGAUCGGCCACACUGGGACUGAGACACGGCCCAGACUCCUACGGGAGGCAGCAGUAGGGAAUCUUCGGCAAUGGACGGAAGGCUGACCGAGCAACGCCGCGGGAGUGAAGAAGGUUUUCGGAUCGUAAAGCUCUGUUGUAAGAGAAGAACGAGUGUGAGAGUGGAAAGUUCACACUGUGACGGUAUCUUACCAGAAAGGGACGGCUAACUACGUG